GGUCAAAACAUAAUUAAUAAAUGUUGGACUUAUUUUUAUUUUUCUUGAGAUUUUUUUAUUCUGAGAUUUUAAAGGGAAAAUUGUGAUAUCUGUCAUGUGACAUGUAUUGUCACGUGGUGUGCUUUCAAGUUUCUACGUCAAAGCAGUUGGGCACCAUUGCUCCUUUCCCUUCUUUUUGGUACAAAAACUUUGGCUCCACUUAAUGCGUUUCGAACGGGAAUCGCAUGAACUUUGUCUGAUGUCGUAGUGGGCAAGUUAAGGCUUAAGAGUUUGAUUGGGGUUGCCCAUUUAUCUGGCGAAGUGUUGCCUGGACCAAACAAGAAGAAGAAGAAAAAAAAUCCAUUGUCCAUUUUAACUAAAAUUGUUGACUUAUGUUCAAAAGGUUGUUGACUUGUUGUUUGGGAAUAUUAAGUAUUGAUUGACAAAAAGUUCGAAACUUUAUAGCGCUUGUUUGAAAGUUUUUUCUUUAAAUGACUGAAAUCGUUUUAUGAAAAAAGGUUUUUAGUUCUAAAAAUAUUUGAAGUGUUUUCUUCAAAAAGCAUCGGUUAUGUGCUUUUUGUAAGAAACUGGUGCUUUUUAAAGAAACAUUUAAGUACUUUUUAAGGAUUCAUUAAAUUUUUACUAAAGAUUGGUUUCAAAAAUAUUUUCAUCAAAAAUGCUUUUGGUCAAUCUGUGAGUUGCAAAAUUAGUAAAAAUCAAUUUUAACAUCCUCAACAACCGGAAUCAAAGGAUAGGAAUCCGCCCUUCAGCAACCAACUGCCUGGACCAACCUGAUACAACUUGGUCCUCUCCCUGCUAAGAACUCAACGACAUGAAGUUCAGAACAUUCGCAUGCCAGAUUGUUCCCCAUAUAGUAGAGAUAGACCCCGACGAACAUAAAGAAAAUUUGUUAGAAUUCCUCUAUCCCACGUUGGCCAGAAGGUUUGAGAGCAAGUCCUUUAUAUAGAAUUACCUCAUUCUAACUAUCACUAAGGUAUUUUGUAUUAAAACCCCAUACCUGACGGAUUGAGCAAGUGGUCAAGUGGGGAUAGUAUCGGUGUUGUUGGAGUGGGCCCAUGACCCGUCUACUUGAAAUUUAACAAAUUCAACCCCAUUUCUGGUAAAAGUACUUUUUGCUAAAAGUGCUUAUUAAACCUUUUAUGCUGGUAAAACUAUAUUGAUAUGUUUUUCUGGGUUCUGGGUUGUUUCACAAGUUCCAUCGCUUUUCCAAAACUUGGAAUUAUGGGUUUUUCUGGUUUUAUGCAUGUGAAUUUUUCUAUGAGAUAGAAUAAGAGCAGGUUAUUUUCAAAUACAAUCGAAAAAAAUAAAAACCUAGUUGAAUUAGUUACUUCUUUUUAACUGGGAAAAUGAUUCCUUUCUGGCCUCUGUUCAUUUUUUCUAGGUAAAGGAUAACCAUAAUUUAACUAGGGAGCUGAUCUCUUUGUGCGGUUCAUUUAAAUUUUCCGCAGAGCAUUUUGCAAAAUCACAAAGGGCAGUGUCCACAAAGCAUUAACAUGAUAUUUCUAUUUGUGACAAGUAAAUCAGAAUUUACUUUUAUCAAUUUACUAAUUAAAAAUAAAUUUGAGGAUACAAGCAAUUGAGCCACCAUGUUCUACAUACAACUAUGGCCUUGCACAUCGUACAAGUAGAACUAAGGAAUCUAUGUUUUGUUCUGCAACUGCAAUUGGUACUUUGUUGAGCAGUAUUUUGAGCUCUCAUGAUUUUCAUCCGUUCUUUGUAUAGCAUAAGCGGAAAAAAGAAGAACAGAAGAAAAGAAUGAUACCACAUUGUUUGCUCGUAGAAUUCUUCAAUUUUGUGGCGAUUGUGUGCUUUAUCCUCAUUGUUGAUCAUUUUAACACAAGAAGGGAAAGGAAAAUAAAUUUACGACAAAACCAAUAUGCUUGAUAGUAAUAGGUUUUUUUUUUUUUUCCCUGAUGUGAUAGGUAUAGGGCUAACCAAAACUUGUAGCCAAACACUAUUUUAGCGCCAUAUAUAAGUGAUUUUUGGUAUUUUUUUCACCCCUUAUUUUCACAUCUGGUAGGGUUUUUUAUUUUAUUUUUUAUUGAUCGUGGAGGGGGUUUUGUUGUUUGUUUCACUUUCAAAAUCUGAUAGGGUUUUGUAAAAAUCGAGAAAUCUCAGGAGUGUAUAUGUAAUUAACUCAUUCAUUCUUCAUUAUAACCAUAAUCCACAGGUCCCACAUGCUACAAUUUUUCUCCAACAUUUCCAAAUCAUUGUCCUAGAGUAUUUGGUUUUGAAAGCCAGAGAUACCUUGUUGUAUUACAUUUACAUGUCUCAAUGGGUAACUCAGUGAUCCAAUCAAUACACGAAACAAGUCUCCUUCUUAUAUUUAUAUUUCAUUAAUCUCAUAAUUAGUGGUUUGUCCAAAUGAUUAGUUUUUCGAUUAAUAUCUUUCUAAAACUUUUAUCAUCCCUGUAAUAGUUUUAGGACACACAUCCAACACAGGACAUGACAUUAGUUUUUAGUACAUGGGUAAAAACCAUAGGUUCUCCAUAUAUAACUAGACAAUCCACUAGGACAAAUUAAACAUUCAAUAGAGGACUUCUCAAUCAAGCUCAAUUACCUAGAUACAACUAAGCAGCAAGUUGGAUACCUCUGUGCAACCUGCGAUUUCUUCUCAUCAACACUCAGUUCAUUCAUCACAAGCACGACAAUUUAUCAACUCGAACUAUUCAUAAGCACAGUGCUGAAUAUUUUUUCCUUCCUUUUCUCUCUUCCUUCUCGAUGCACUCUGGUUUCUCUUCUUCUCUUUCUCAAAUGCCCACUCCCUCUCUCUAAAAGUCCAUCUCUCUCUUCCUCCGAACCACUCACUGUAUUUUUUAGUUUGGAAGAGUCCUCAUCCUUAGCAGCAUUUUAGAUCAAGUUUUCACUACCCUCCAACCAUGUAGAGUUGCUGCACAAGUUUUCACUCACCUACCAUAACAUUGCAAAUUCAAAAGUUUUUACUCAUCUGUUGGUUCCACUUUUUAAAUAUUAAUUUCCUUUGUUUUGAUGUUAAUUGGAUUGUGGUUUGCCUUCAUCUUCUACACACCAACAUAUUCCUAACUCACAUAGAAACUCUAACUUAUAUAAUUAGAGCUGAUUUUGUCCUAAAGGUUUACCAUGUGAAGAUUGACAAGAGUACAAAUAAACUUAAAUCCACUGACCAUUCUUGGGUUGUGCUUCCUAAUAAUUUAUGUGUUCAGAAUGAAGGUUUACUAUGAGAAGAUUGACAAGAAUACAAAUAAUAUUAAUUUCAAACUUUCUUAAUGUUGCGUGCAUAUAUUUCGGUUAGGAGUUAGAUGUAUAUAUAUUUAUCACUUUUUACAUGUUUUAUAUGGUUCUAAAACCUGCAGCAUCGUGCGGGGGCACUUUCGCUAGUGACACUGCUUGAAAUCACCAUGAAACUAAAUUUAGAACUAUAAGAUAUGAAAUAUAUCAUGACGUACAGAUUCAAAACUACAACCCAAAACCCUAGUUUAUUUAAAUCGAUAUACACACAAGCACGCAGAUUUUGACGUUGUUAGCUUUAUUAAGUUUUAAUUGUAUUGUUAUCAAGAUGCUCUCAUCUUCGUAAAUCUCUCCAUAAUCUCCUAGAUUGCGUCAAGAAUAGAAAGUGGCGUUGGACAUGUCUUACUGUGCACUCCAAGUCGUUAAUUGUAAGUAAACUUUGUAUUGAUAUAUUAUACAUACAUACAUACAUACAUAUAUAUAUAUAUAUAUAUUGUGUAAUUGGGAAUGAAAUAAUAAAAAGGAAAUUAUUUUUGUUAAUGGUGUCAGAAACUGAUUAUUAACUAAUUAACCUGAAGUAGUCAAGAGUCGAGCAGACCUGCAAAGUCGAGCAAUCUUCUGCACACUCACUGUCCUAGAUACAACCUUUUGCUAAAACGUAUAGGAAAAUAGUUGUAAGGCUGUGCAAGAUCUAGCUGAACCAUUUGUUCCUUCUUGGUGGUAAUAUUCUUCAACUUCACUCUUUUACCUGCUCCAGACUCCACCACCAAAUUAACCAUCCAAUCUCCCUAAUCUUCCCACUACAAAAUCACAAUUAGUGGGAGAGAAAAACAGCAGAGAAAACUAUAUAUAAAUAGAGGCAAAUUGAACUCAUUACAAAAGAAAUCACACGUAAUUAUGAACAACAAGGAUAUCCCAUUCCAAUUAAUGGGGUUAAUCACUAGAUAUGAAAUAAGUCGAUUAGGGUUUAAGUUUAUACUGGAAAACGAAGAGAGUCACUGAGUCAGCAAAAGUGGAGGAGCAAUGCUUCAAAGUUCCCUCAGGCUUCCAACAUUUCCAUACUCGACGUUGAUCGAUCAUAGUACUGAUAUGGAAUAUUGGAAGCCCUUGAGGGAAGUUGAAACCUUCUCCAAAACUCAAUCUCACCAAACUUGACUACUUUCCAGUUGACACCAACCUUCACUGGAUGGGUUUAUAUAAUAAUACUGAGAAGUUGCUUUUGAAAAUUUAGAAGCUGACAAACGAAUCCGAUCUUUAACGAAUAUUAAUUUAUAGCUAGGUGUCUUUGUAAACGAAUAAGGAUCCUCUUGGCGAUCCGUGUAUCUUGUCCGUUCAUCGUACAUCAUGCUGUUAGAAAUCAUUUUAAAUUUUAUUAUUUAAAAUUAAAUACAAACAACAUCUAAGAAAAACUGAUCGCAUGAUAUACAAUGAACGGAUACGAUUUACGGAUUCCUAGGAUCUUCACAAAGAGGAUCUGGAUUCUUUGUAACCCUAAACCAAAUAUAAAAUAAAACAUGCAAAAAAAAAUUAAACCUUUGACUUUGCGACAGAUCGUGGAUACCGACUUCUUUUUAAUCAGUGUACCUAAAAUUGUUUGUUUGGAGAACAAAGAUAGACUUAUUCCCUCUCCCAAGGGUCGAGGGAAUUUUUUAUUUUUUUUAUUUUUCAUUUUUUGUACACACGCACACAUAGGAAAUGUCUAGUGUUUAAAAUUUUCAUGUGAUUCAAUUGAGGGUGGUGAAAUAAAUCUCAAAAUUUAAAAUCAUUUAACGGUAAUAAGUAAGGUGGUGAUCAUUUACCACUUAAGGGUAGUGAGCAUUUACCACUUAAGGGUAGUGAGCAGAAAUACACCCAAUAUAAUUAGGGAGGUGCUAGAUUGAUACUUUUUUUUUACCUUUCAUACAUCUUUCUCAAUUUUCCUGUCGGAUUGAAUGGAUUGAACAUGACUAAAGGACAAAAAUUAACAAAGAGUGUGAAAGGUAAAGUGGUUGUGUGGAUAGCACCACCGUUUAGUUAUUCAAGAACUUAUACUUUCAAAGUUUAGAUAUCUGAAAAACACAAUAAAAGAGAGCAUUGUGGCUUUCUCAUCCACCUAAGGGCUUCUCCAAUAAGAGAUGCAAAAUGCUUUUGCAAUGUGCAUUUUAUAUCUUUUCUUUGUUGGAAAAUUCUCCGAUGGCAAAAUGCAAAUUAUUCAUCUUCAACGAAAUAUGUAAAUAUAAACCUAAAUUUAUAUCCAGCAUAACAUUUGAGAAACGUCAAAGGUGUUUGUGUUACUUUCAAAAUCUGAGGGGGUUCUAUAAAAACCUGAGAAACCUCAGGGGAUGUAUGCAUAAUUAACCCGGCUAUGGAAUAAUAUGUUUGAUAUAUUAGAACACGAUGAAACUUACUAUAAUGAGUCAAUGACAUGACAUAAUCCUAAUCAAAACAUAUGUACAUGUUCUUGAAGUGUAUGUAGUUGUCCUCUGAAAUAGUUGUAAUAUCAAACUUGUCAUUUUUAUAUAGUUCCUGCUCAUGGCAAGGAAUGAAAUGAAAUGAAAAGGAGGUCAAACAACCGAAAUAACCUUGAACAUAAGGCAUAUAACUUAUUUUGAAUGAAAAAUUUAACGGAGUUAGAAUGAGAUAACAAAUUAAGGCCAUCUCCAACCAAAUGGGCUAUGUUUAGCCCUCGUCCAGAUUAUAACCCUGUAAGAAAUUGUUUUUUAAUGAACAUUGUCCAAAUGAAGGGUCUAUGUUUUAGCCCUCUUACUACUUUGUCUAUGUUUUAGCCCACUUACUACUUUAUUAUUUUAAGUUUGUUAUUUAAUUAUAUCAAUUAAUAUUUGAAUUAAACUACCAUAUUAAUAUAAGGUUUUCAGACAUAUUUUGAGGGUCACUUGUAGCUAAACGUUGUUUUAAGUUUCAUGUUAUUAAAAAUAUUUUAAUUUUACUUGCAUGCUAACAACUUAAAUAUUAAAAUGAGGUAAGAUAGUAUGGAAGGGUGAAAAGGAUGUGAGAAAUGGCUUAGGUAUUUAUAGGAAAAAAUUAGAUUUUUUUUUUAAUUUCUUCUUUAGAAAAAAAAAAAAAAAAAAAAGCCUACAUGGUGUCGGCUAGCAACACAGCUGGGCCUAACUUUCAAGGUUGGCUAUGUUUGCCCAGCCGUCUGGCCAUUUGGCUAUAUUUUGGCCUAGUGGGUCCCAAGUUUUUUUUGGCACAACCCUCCAUUCGAGAUGAAUUUUGUGUCAAAACAGGCUAUGUUUUGACCUAUAGCUCUUUGGCUGGCUCGGUUGAAGAUGGCAAAAUGAUUUUGAAAAGUUGAUAUUAUGAUAAUUUGCUUAAAAUUUUAGUUUAUAUGACAAAUUGAAAAAUGUGUAAGUUCAUUUGACAUUUCAAAAAGAUGUAAAAGUUAAUAUAUGACAUUUCAAAAAAAAAAAAAAUCUUAUUAGUUUAGUUAAUGCAUAUAAUUUUGAAGUAUGGAAUGAUAAAAUGUGAUACACAUAAAUGUAAUAUCUUGUAUUUUAUUGCAAAGAAAUUUAAGGUGAAGAGGUUUUUUUGUUAAGGAAAACUAAUGAAAAUGGUUUGAAAAUUUUGAGUUUAAUGAAAAUGACUUGAAAUUUUGAGUUUAACGAAAAUGACAAAAUAAAGGGUAAAGUGAAUUAUCACAUCCCGGCCUGGGCCCCUACCACAUCCCGGGCUCAACUCCGGCAUAGCACGAUAUUGUCUAUUUUGGGCCUCGACCACGCUCUCACGGUUUUGUUUCUGGGAACUCACACGAGAACUUUCCAAUGGGUCACCCAUCCUGGGAUUUCUCUCGUGCGAACUCGCUUAACUUCGGAAUUCCGAUGAACUCUGAAGCCAGUGAGCUCCCAAAAUGCCUUGUGCUAGGUAGAGAUGAAAAUAUACAUAUAAGGCUUACAUGAUCCACUUCCCUGGGCAAUGUGAGAUGUUACAAUCCACUCCCUUAGGGGCCCGACGUCCUCGUUGGCACACAACCGGCCAGGGAUUGACUCUGAUACCAAAUUGUCACAUCCCGACUUGGAUCCCCACCACAUCCCCGGCUCGACUCCGCCGUAGCACGAUAUUGUCCGCUUUGGGCCCGGCCACGCCCUCACGGUUUUGUUUCUGAGAACUCACACGACAACUUCUCAGUGGUUCACCCAUCCUGGGAUUGCUCUCGUGCGAACUCGCUUAACUUUGGAGUUCAGAUGAACUCUGAAGCCAGUGAGCUCCCAAAAGACCUCGUGCUAGGUAGAGAUGAGAAUAUACAUAUAAGGCUUACAAGAUCCACUACCCUGGACGAUGUGGGACGUUACAAAAUAGUAUCAUGAUUGACUUUUUAGUGUAAAAAUGUGAUUUUUCGUUAAAGUGAACAGCAUCGAGAAUUUUUCAUUAAAGUUCUCUUUUUUAAUCUUUUAUUUUUGGUCACGAUUUAUGCAUGCAACUUUAUCAAGUAUGUAGAAAUGCAGGAAGUAGUGCAGUGAGAAAGCCCAGUGGCAACCAUGCACCUGCUGCAGUAAAACUUGCUAUCUAAAAACUGUAAGUCAUGCUUUAACCUAAUAGGAAUUUAGUAUACGGAUGAAAAAAGUAAAUAGAUAAAAACAUGAAUCCUUAAAAUUUUCAGAAAUAUAGGUGGAUGAUUGGAAGGGCAUUAGAGAUGAAAGAAACUUAUCGAAUCUAAUGAGUUAUUGGAAUAAAUAAGUUUCUUUAAUGAGUAAUUACAUAAUUUUUUUUCGUUUCUUCAUCAGCACAACUUGAGUAUAAUGAAUUAUCGAAUCCAAUCUGAGACGCCAGAUAUAUCCACAAGGGUCCUAUGGUGUCCCACCCCCUUUAUAUCCAAAUGGUAUUCAUUCGACUGGUGAAGAGAGGAUAAUCGAAUGCGCUAAAUCUUCGUAAAAAGUACAAAGUUUUGAUUUGAUAUUGAAAUUAGUUCACCUUUUACAGCUUCUAAUUCUAUACGCAGGCCAGUUGUAGAGAUUUGAGAUAUAUGACUAUUUGUAAUACAUUGUGCUGAUAACGUUUGAAAAUGAAAUAAUUGAUUUCUAUACGUGAUUCGCAGUAUCAAAAAAAUCGACCGUUACAAUAUAAAAAUAUUGCUUUUAUGAUAAUUCGAGUUUGUUUGAUUCAUAUAGAUAACUAAAAGUCUUUAAGUCCACUGAAUUUUUCUAGAUGACAUUUAGAUAAUGAUUAAAAAAAUGAACAAUUUAGAUUAGGGAGUUUUAAAAAAACACUUCUGGUACUGUUCAAUUUUAACGAAAAACCACAUUUUACCUUUCUCUAAUGCUAUUCACUACACCUUUAUUUGUUAUUUUUCAUUAAAACUAAAGUUUUUUUGAAUUUUUUAUUAGUUUUUCUUUUAAAUUAUGAUACGGUAAAAUACUAUCACGAUGUCAUGUAAAGAUGUUCUCUUUAUAUGUAAGGAGUGAAUCAAUAUCUCUGGUUAAAUCAUUAUGUUAUGGUGGCAUACACUUUUAUUAAAAAGUGAUUCUUCUAUAGCUUGUCUCUCCGUACGGAUGACUUUAUUCCUCCAUGAUUAAUUGGUACGCAAUAGUUCCGCUAAGAUGAGCUUGCCUCCCUCAACAAUGAUGUGACAUGACUCCCUCCGCAGGUGGUUUUUGUUUCUUUACCUUCAAAUUUUCUUGGCAUGCCAUGUUUCUAAAUUUUAAAUUAAUGUAAAUCUCGAAUUACAAGUUAGUAUCAGUGUAUCACUCUUCUGAUAUGUGAUUUUCAUUUUAUCCCCAACAAGUGGUUUAAACACGUUGGCUACAAAGUCAACUUGCUAGUGGCCAUAAAGCCAAUUUUAUAUGAAACAUUUACUUAAUUAUACUCCACUUGCAGAUUCAAUCACACCAUAUAGCAGAGAGCAUCUCAGACUACUAAAAAAGAAUGUAAGGUCAUCUCCAACCGAUGACUGGUUAGGCCAUCUCCAACCGAUGGCUGGCCAGAUGGCUCGUUUUAGCCCUCUGGCCUCUAAGAUUCUUCAAGAUAUUAAUAUUUUAAUGAACAGUACAGGGUCAUAUUUGCCUCUGUCUCCAACCGAGGGCCAGAGGGUCAGAGGGCUCGUUUUAGCCCUUUUACAUAAAACCGUCUCCAACCGAGGGCCAAAAGGUCAUAGGGCCAAACAUAAGUUAUUAUUUAAAAACUACAACUUAAAUUCAAAUCCAACCACAAAGAGGUACCUACAACAAGAUCUUGUUGCACAUCUUUGGGCCCAAAGAAGCAUUGAGUAGGCACUUACGUUUUAUGUUUUUAAAUGUUUUUAAAAACGUUGUUUAAGUUUCAUGUUGUAUAAUUUUUAUGUUGGUUAAUCUUAUUUAAUGUUGUUUCAUAUUGUUUAAUGUUGUUUCAUGUUACUUAAUUUAAUUUAAUGUUGUAUAAUGGCUUAGGAAGUUAUAGGAAAAAUAAAUAGAAUUAAAAAAAAAUAUGAAACAAAUUUUGUGAAAUAGAAGUUAUAGAAAAAAAUGGAAUUUAAAAAAAAUAUGAAACAAAUUUUGUGAAAUAUAAGUUAUAGGAAAAAAAUGAAUGAAAUUAUUGAAAAAAUAUUGAAGGAAAUUAUUGAAAAAUUGAAACAAAUAUUAUAGAUGAAGGAAAUAUUGGAAAAUAUAUUGAAGGAAAUAUUGAGAAAUAUAUUGAAGGAAAUAUUGGAAAAUAUUGAAGAAGGAAAUAUUGGAAAAUAUAUUGAAGGAAAACCCAACGGCUAGCUGACUCAGCUAGCCGUUAUAUUAAAAAAAAAAUUCAAACUAUUAGUGUCGGUUAUAACCGACACUAAUAGUAAAAAAAAAAAAAAAUGCCUAUGAAUACCUAUUACUGCCGGUUAGAACCGACAAUAUUAAAAAAUCUUUCCUUAAUGUUGUCGGUUAUAACCGACAACAAUAGUAAAACUAUAAAAAAAAAAUAGCCAGCCAGCAUUCGGCCCUUUGGCCCUUUGAAAUUCCUUGGGGCCCUCCCAGAUUCCCGAGCCCUCUGGCCUAGCCCUCGGUUGGAAACGGUUUUAGGACUAUUUUCGGCCCUCUGGCCCUCUGGACCAUUCAGUUGGAGAUGGCCUUAGAGGGCUUGUUUUAGCCCUCUGACCCUCCAAGAUUCUCCAAGAUAUUAAUAUUUUAAUAAACAGUACAGUACCAUAUUUGCCUCCGUAUCCAACCGAGGGGUCAGAGGGCCAAAGGGCCAGAUGACUCGUUUUAGCCCUGUCACAAAAAACCGCCUCCAACCGAGGGCUAGAGGGUCAUAAGGCCAAACAUAAUUUAUUAUUUAAAAACUACAACUUAAUGUUGUUUCAUGUUACUUAAUUUAAUUUAAUGUUGUAUAAUGGCUUAGGAAUUUAUAGGAAAAAAUUAUAAUUUAAAAAAAAAUAUGAAACAAAUUUUGUGAAAUAGAAGUUAUAGGAAAAAAUAAAAUUUAAAAUAAAAUCGAACACAUUUUGUGAAAUAGAAGUUAUAGGAAAAAAAAAAGAAUUUAAAAUAAAAUGAAACAAAUUUUGUGAAAUAGAAGUUAUAGGAAAAAAUGGAAUUUUAAAAAAAUAUGAAACAAAUUUUGUAAAAUAAAAGUUAUAGGAAAAAAUAGAAGUUACAUGAAAAAUUUUGUAAAUAAAAAAUAAUAAUAAAAUUGUAAAAAAAAAAAUAUUCAAAUGCAAUGGCUAGCCGUUGCAUUUGAUUUUUUCCUUAAGAAAUCUUGUUGGUUAUAACUGUGGAUGCAAAUUUCCGCAUUCUUCUUCUUGGACAAAAUUGCACCUACAAAACAAUCAACACCUUUGGUCAAGGCCAAGAACCUCACACGCUCACGAUGAAUGGGGGGGGCUUUGGCCGAAGAACCUUCGAUGCCAAAAUUAGAAUUUAGCGAGAAAAUUUGUUUAGAGGAUUUUUGGGAGUUUUGCAAGAGUAUCAACUUUUUAGAAGAAAUAGGGUCAUAUAUAUAGGGAAUGGGGCAUGGCCGGCCUUUAAGUGUGUUUUGGGGUGUUAUUUGGUGAUUCAAUUAGUAAUUAAUAUAUUAAUUAGGUAUAAAUAUAUUAAUUGGCUAAUUAUCAUAAUAAAAGAAAUGUUUUGGGAUGUUUUUGGAGGUUAUGGAAUAAGGAUGGAUGAGACAAAUUUGAACUUGUUACCGAUUUUGGGUACUCCUGAUUUGGUUGAUGGAUGAUUCUCCACUGCUCGAGUGUAGGAGACCCGGUAUGCCUCGAGAGUAAAUUUGUCAUCUUCACCCAAAAAUCCACGUUUUGCUUUGUGAUUAUUUUUUGCUCCACAAAUGCCCCCACAUCUGCUGGGCUGCUCGUAGGAAAGUGCAGCAGGUGUAGAGGUCUUCUUGCUCUAGGAAACUUAGGACUGCUUCCUGUUUUGAUGUAGAUUCCCUCUUUAAUAUGAAAUUAGAUCCUUCUAGGAAAAUGAAAUAAAUUUCUCGCCUAUUCAAGUCCACCUUAAGUGGGUUAUUAAAUCAACUUUGGAGAGUGAUUUAUUCUACCCUACAAGAGAGAGAGAGCUUAGAGGAUAUUUGUUCCUCCUUCUCUAGCAAUCUUCUACAUCUUACCCGUACAAAUGACCGUCUUUCGUAGCUUUCUUCGUCUUCUCCGUGCCGCACCAAUGUAAUAAAAACUUAAUUUCUUCUUGUCUUUUUCUUAGGUGGUGCUGCCACGGGGCAAUCGUCGAGGUGGUGCGGCACGUCGGCUAGCAGGGGCCAGGAGUCGACUUGGCAUGGGCCAAUGAGGUGAUGUGGCAGGGGCCAUUGCUUGAGCAGCUUGGCUUAAUUCUAGCCAAGGAUUGGUUCGGCAUAGGGCGAGGAAAUGGCGUGGGAUAGGCAAUUGUUUGGGCUGCCACGUCUGGGCUGCCUGCUGAAAAUGAAGAAACUGUUUGAGUUUGAUUUUUCAGCAUUUGUUGCUUGGUUGAUUUUCAAGCAUUUGAUCUUUUGAACUAUGUGGCCUUCUUGCACUAAAGAGCUUACUCAGAUGGGCAUCAGGGAUUUAGUUUACCCUCUUGCACUAGAGAACAAUUAGUUUAUCAUUUCACACUGGAGAGCAAACCCAUAUGGGUGUCGGGGAAUUGGUUUACCCUCUCGAACUGGAGAGCAAUUAGUUUAUCCUCUCGCACUUGCGAGCAGACCCAUUUGGGUGUCGGGGAAUUGGUUUACCCUCUUGCACUGGAGAGCAAUUAGUUUAUCCUCUCACACUGGAGAGUGGACCCUUUUAGGUGUCGGGGAAUUGGUUUACCUUCUCCCACUGGAGAGCAAUUAGUUUAUCCUCUCGCACUGGAGUGCAGACCCUUUUGGGUGUCGGGGAAUUGGUUUACCCUCUCACACUGGAGAGCAAUUAGUUUAUCAUUUCGCAUUGGAGAGUAGACCUUUUUGAGGCUUAGUUGGCGCGAGAAAUUGCGCAAUCGCUUGGUCAUGAGCCUUUCUAUUUCUUCCUGAAUUUUCCUUUAUUGGGGUGGCAGAGCUCUCGACUGCCCCCGAUCGUGAUGUGUUGGUCUAAGCUGUUCUUCCAUAUGUUCGACUCAUCUAUGUCGCGGCUGCGGUGGGUGUGGUAUGUUCCUAGCAGGCGACCAUGUAACUCACAGGCUGCUGGUUGAACUUGAGCCGGAUUAAGUAACUGGUUCUUUCCGUCUGCUAUGCUGCCUGCUCCGAUGUAAUGUGGAGGAUACUUCUUACGGGCCUAGCCAUGAAUGAAUACUUCGCUUGGAAGGCUACUCAUGUUGAUUAUCAGAGUGCAUCAUCAACCGUGAGUGUAUGCUCGUCCGUGGGCCUAGUCGAUAGUGCACGCUCCUCUGCGCGCUAAGACGGGAGUAUACAUUAUCUUGGGGGCCCAAUCGGGAGUGUACUCUACCCAAACGCUCGGUUCGUGGAUGGUCGAGUCGCUGCUUGCUGGGAUGCUGCUGGAAAGGUUCUUUUUCUGCCUUUGUCCUACUUUGGGACACCUCGUUUGGGGCACAUUAUAUCUUGGUGCGCUGUAAGAGCUGGUUCACCAAGGUCGUUUGCUGUGCUAGGGCGUUUGUCAACUCUAUGACUUGUCGAGACAAGUGUUGUUCACCAUUUGGAUUGGAAGAGCUUGGAAGGAAUGUGCCUCCUUAAGCAAUGGAAAUGUGGUAGACUCCGGGCACGAGAUUUGAGUUGGGAAAUGUCAAAUCCGUAGAGAAAUGUGGUGAGAAUACCUCCGGUUCGAUCGUAAGCCCAAAAAUUUAAAACCGGGAUGGUUGAACUAAUCUUGGACCGAUUUGAGCUACGAGAGUGAGCUGCUCGUCGGGAGCAGGCUAGGCCACGAGAACGGGCUGCUCAGUUGGAGCACGCUGGGCCACGAGAGCAAGUUGUGCCACGGGAGUAGGCUGCUCGUCUGGAACAGGUUAGGCCAUGAGAGUGGGCUGCUCGUCGAGAACAGGCUAGGCCACGGGAGUAGGCUGCUCGUUGGGAGCAGGCUGCUCGACUUGUGAUGCUCGUGAAUGUGAGGCUUGAGCUCGGCUUGGCAACGCAUAGGGCUUGCGUUGGGCAUGGAGUGACAUGGCUCGGGCCGUAGUGGUGGAGUCAUGGACCUCGCCGUGGGUGAAUGCCAUGGUGGCCACCGUGGUGGUUGCCAUGGUUGAGCCUUGUGGUGGCGGUGCCGUUCCCCCUAAGAUCACAUUUAGUUUUGUGGAUCACCGCGGUCCCAUUUCUUGAAUAUUGGAAUUUUCACUUGUGGAAUUUUCUAAAUUUCUAGCCAUUGUAUUUCUCUUUCACGUUUUAUCAAAGAAUCUUUGCAAAUAAAAAUUUCUAAUAAUAAGAACGUACGAAAAAUACAAAUGGACUAGUAAAUAGAGAAAAUAGAGAAAAAACCUUUUUGUGCGAGAAUCUUCUACUAGUGUGAAUCUCAACUCUCAAUGAAAGCACCCAUUUGUGGAUGCAAAUUUCCGCCUUCUUCUUUUUGGACAAAAUUGCACCUACAAAACAAUCAACACCUUUGGUCAAGGUCAAGAACCUCACGCGCCCACGAUGAAUGAAUGGGGGCUUUGGUCCAAGAACCUUUGAUGCCAAAGUUAGAAUUUAGAGAGAAAAAGUGUUUAGAGGAUUUUUGGGAGUUUUGCAAGAGUAUCAACUUAGCUUUUUAGAAGAAAUAGGGUCAUAUAUAUAGGGAAUGGGGUGUGGCCGGCCUUUAAGUGUGUUUUGGUGUCACAGCCCGUCCCGGGAUUCUAUAUAUCGGAGACGUGAAAUGACGGAAUUACCCUUGACGGGUAUUAAGGUAUGUGUGUGUGUGACAUAUUAUUUGGACUAAAUACACAUAUUUCAUAAGCUUUUGGAAAAUUAUUAAGUUGGAUUAAAAUUGGGUUGUAAAUUUGUGUGGUUAAGGAAUGAUGUUGUGACUUGUUUUUGGGUGGACCACACAACACACACACGGGACUCCCCUUUCCUUUCCCCCGUGCCCUCUCUCUUUCUCUCCUUUCCGUUUCAGUCUCACUCUCUCCCUCUCGAAACCGUAUGGACGAGACCAAAUACCCUCGAACUUUCACGGAUCGACGCCAAAAAGGUAAGGUUCUUCAUCCUUUCGACCUCCUGAGUCGUUUGGUACUAGUUUUAGAACGAGAAACCUUCGAAAUCACGUGAAACCUGAACCCCAGUUUUAUGUCACUGUUCAUGCAUUCGUGAUAUGUUGAUUUUCAGGGAAUUCUAAGCUUAUAAUGAGCUUAGUGAGGUCCCAAGGAAGCUUGGAGUGCUUCGUUUGAAGGUUUUGGACGUCGGGAUCAUUGAGUUCGAAAUUGGCCGGUUUUCUUGGAAUUUCUCCGGUGAGAUUUUGUAGUUUUUAGAGCCUUAAAGUAGUGUAAUGUGAAACUACAUGCUUAGGGCUUCAUUUUGAUAUAAAAUAUGAAGAAAAUGGUUGAGAAAUGACGGAGAACAAGGAGAUUGAAAAAUCUCCAAUUUUCCGGCCACCGGAAAAACCAGUCCGACGAGCCCAAGGUAGGAGACGCACGUGGGGGGCGCGUGGACUCGUGCCUGUCCAGGCGCAUAGGGGCGCGUGCAGCCUCAGAAUUUUUUUCUAAAAAUUUCUCGACGUUCGUGACGUCGAGUAGGUCGAUGUGGUAUAUUCAUAUACCCAAUUUGAGCACCGUAUGAGAAGUUAUUACGAAUUGUUGGUUAUGUGCUUUAAAUAACGUUGUUUUAGUUGUUUCGCAUAUAGGUGACACCUAUCCCGAGGACGAGCGCAUCCAGGGACGUCACGGGGGUUACGACCCAUCAACGUACCAGUGAGUGGGCAGUUAUUUUCUGUAUUUACCUUUAUACUAUUGAUUUUCCCAGAAAUUAAAUUUAAAUGAAGGUAUGUUUUAAAAUGCCAUGCAUGCAUAUUGUGAAUUAUAUGAAUUGAUAUUUGAUGCAUAUAUAUAUGUGAAUUGGUGCUGUAGGCGCACAGGUGAGUAUCAGGUGAGUUUUAUGUUAUUCAUACGAUUUAUUAUAAUGUGAAUUGCGUUGAGAGCUCAUAACCUGCACCCUUGGUUUUAGUGCUUAAAUUAUUCACCGCACCGCACGCUCACCUUGGAUCCAAGUAGGUGCAUGUCGUACAGACAAUGUGAGGGUUCCGACAUGCUAGUCAUAUAGAUCACUAGAGGUGGUUCCGACUAGUAGGUGACCUUAGAUUAUGCGCGCAGAUGAUUGAUGAGAGAAGCACUAGAGCGUAUUCUUACACCUUUUUUAUCGUACAUACUACUUUAGGUAGUUUCGAUUUAUGUGCAGAGUAGUGCCGUACAGGUUACCGUGGUGACUCCGGCUGGGUUGGAUAUUGAGCUAUAGAAUGAACCGUACAUGACCAACUGCGGGGUCUCCGGUUGUUUCAUUAUAUCACCUGUUAUAUUGAUGCAUCCAUAUUCUGUCAUUGACAUUAUUGCAUGGCAUACUUGCUGGAUUUUGGUAAAGAUUAAUGUUUUGAGAGAUUUGAUCAAAUAUUAUGCUAUUAUGUUAUUUUCUGGGAAAGUAUACAAGUUUUACAGUGAGGGGUUAGAAAUGUUUUAAAUGAAAUGUUUUGGAAAACUUUGGUUUUACUGACCCACUCAAUUUUGUUUUGCACCCCUCCAGGUUCUAGUUAGCAGCGUUGGUGGCCCACGAGGAUCCCCACGACAUACUGACAGACUACCUAAAUGUAGGACUCACCUGCGGGUGUUGUAAUCUAGUUAUGGUCCUACUUGACUGCACCUAGUUCUUAGGCUUUGAAUAUGUGUGUUUCACACUUAAACUUAUUCUAGCACGUUACUUGGUUAUUCUACUAGUAUCUGGUUUUUAUUACUCGUAUGUUCUUAUCUAUUGCUUCCGCGUCGCACUUUUGGUUACGUUACGCUCACGUGACGGCCAGCAUGCCUUGAUUCUAGGAUCGGGGUGUGUCAUUUGGGGUGUUAUUUGGUGAUUCAAUUAGCAAUUAAUAUAUUAAUUAUGUAUAAAUAUAUUAAUUGGCUAAUUAUCAUAAUAAAAUAAAUGUUUUGGGAUGUUUUUGGAGGUUAUGGAAUGAGGAUGGAUGAGACAAAUUUGAACUUGUUACCUAUUUUGGGUACUCCUGAUUUGGUUGAUGGAUGAUUCUCCACUGCUCGAGUGUAGGAGACCCGGUAUGCCUCGAGGGUAAAUUUGUCAUUUUCAACAAAAAAUCCACGUGUCGCUUUGUGAUUAUUUUUUGCUCCACAAUAACCGACAAGAAAUCCGACACAUUUUAAAAAAUUCUGGCCAGCCCAGGGUUGGCUAGCUGGCUGGAAGUGGCCAACCUUCUAGCCCUUUGGCCCUUUCCGAUUCUGUGGGACCCUCUCAGAUUCCACAGCCCUCUGGCCUAGCCCUCGGUUGGAGAUAGUUUUCGAACUAUUUUCGACCAUCUGGUCCUCUGGACCCUUCAGUUGGAGAUGGCCUAAGGGAUGACCAAUAUAAGAUUGCAAACUUUUGGGAGCGGAUUAGACAUCCAAUGACCCAACUCAUUAGACGUGUUCAACUGUAAUUUGUUUAAUUAAUGUCAUUCACUGGUACUUGGAUCAAGGGAUUCAUUCUGACAGAUAAACCGUAAUUUGAGACUUAUCUGUAUUAAAAAGUUAGUUAUCCCUAUUGUCAAGUAAAUUUAUAAAAAAAUCAUAAGUACUGAACAAACUAAUAUAAAACAUGACGGGUCUAUAUGGGUUUUUUUUUGGACAAGAACGGUCUUUAUGGGUUAAAUGAUGGAUUAUGGAUGGUCCUAUGGAUACUUCAUAUACCACCCUUAUCACCAUUACAAACACAAACACAAACAUCACCACUCACCACUAUAAUUAAAGCAUAUCUACACUAAAAUAAACCUGUAUUUAACUAAAUAGGUACCCAUUGAUCAUCCGCAGUGAUCAGUUUAACAAUAUUUCUAAACAUAGUAAAUAUUGCACAAAUAGCAUUAUUGGUGUCAAUUAUAUUACUCCAUGAUCUCAUAACAAACAGUAUGUGAAUAAAUUGUUUAAAUCACAUUUCUAAGCCUUUGUUAUGAGUGUAAUACACCAGUCCAGUAGAAACUUUACAACUACUAUCACAGUGUGUGUAACCCAGAAUAAAAGGGUUGAAAGAAUCAAGUGUGGCUAAUGCUAUGAAACUAACUACUCAUCAAUGGAUAGUGUAAAAAAAUAAGUGAGAGCUGACUCUCCAUGCCGAUACGGGAAGACUGAUAAAAAAUCUCUUGGACCUGAAAACAGUAGAGCAGAGCAGUAGAGAUGUUAUAAAAACAUCCAACCUUUGGUUACAAUUCAUCUUCGAACAUGUUUACCCCCUACGAACGUGUCAUCUAACCUUUCGUUAAAAAUGUCACAUUUCAAGAUGUUAAACAAAGGACAUAUGCAGCUUCCCACAAACAACUUCUUUUAUAUGCAUAAUCUAGAAGAAAAAGCAAUAUCUUUGUUAAUUUAUAAUUCGUUUCAGUGUAAUUCUAACUAAUGACUUUAUACUUUCACUUACAAGAUAAACAAAUAAAUCUCACCAAAUAUGCACAUGUAAAAUAAAUUCCAUGAAGAAGAUUGUACCUCAAGAUAAAAUGACAAACCCUAAAUACACCGAUGCAGAAAGAAAUAUAAACGAUACCAAUCCCUUGCAUAUAAAGAUUAUUAUGUUACGAAAAAUGUCAAGUUUUAAUCAUCAGUACAAUUACGUUUUUUACCAUUACAUCUAAAAAUCCAAUGUCCAUUUUAACUAAAAUUGUUGACUUAUAUUCAAAAGGUUGUUGACCUGUUUGGGAACAUUAUUCAUUUACGAAAAAUCGGAACUUUAUAGGGCUGGUUUGAAAGUUUAUUCUUUAAAUAACUGAAAUUGUUUUAUGAGAAAAUGUUUUUUGUUCCAAAAGUACUUGAACUGUUUUAUUUAAAAAACACCAGUUAUGUGCUUCUUGUAAAAAGCAUUUAAGUUUUUUUUUUCAAGAUUCACUUAUAUUUUUACUACAGAUUGGUUCCAAAAACGCUUUUGAUCAAUCUGUGAGUUGCAAAAUUAGUAGAAAUCAAUUUUAACAUCGUCAAUAGCAGGAAUCAAAGGAGAGGAAUCCGCCCUUAAGCAACCAAUUGCCUGGACCAACUUGAUACAACUUGGUCCUCUCGCUCCUAAGACCAUCUUCAAAGGAGAUGUCAAAGUUUGAACAUAAAAUUUAAAUUUUGACAGCUUAUGUGGCACUUUGACAAUUUUUAAAGUUUUGUUCUUCAACCGAUAUGUUAAAUUAAAUUAUUAUUUUAUAAAAUAAAUUAUUAAACUAAUUAAAAUUUAAUAAAGGACAUUUAAAGUUUAAUCAGUAAUCUGUUCACCUUUUUUUAUUGAAAAGAAGAAAAAAGUAAGAUAAUUGCAUCGGUCAACUCAACAUUAAUUAUAAUAAAUGAUUAAACUAAUUAAAAAUUAAUAAAAUAGAUUUAAUAAUUAAUAAAAAAACAUUUGAAGCUGCUGUCAAAUUUGACAACAACCUCUUUUGCUGCCAAUCCAUGUCAUCGCCACACAGGAUUUGAUACUUUGGCUGGAGAAUAUUAGUGUGGUCUUUUUUUUUACUAUUAUAACUGAUGUGUACAUUUUGGCAUCUUCUUUAGAGCAAGUCCACCCCUAAGGACUUUGCGCCAGCACCCAGCGUAUUUAUCCACCCAAGUGAACAGUAAUAGACCCCAAUGAACAGUAAUAGGCUAAAGCAGCUCCACCCCUAAAAAUGGACUGGCACCCAGCCCAUCUAAUAUUAUAUUAUUUUAUUCAUAUCAAUUAAUAUUUUAUCAUUUAAUUUAUUUUUUCUUCCUUUCUUUGUCCGGUCCUCACCCUUUUAUUCUCUCUCUCUCUCUCUCUCUCUCUCUCUCUCUCUCUCUCUCUCUCUUUUCCAGCUCACUCCCGUGAGCUCUCUCUCUCUCUCUCUCUCCUUUUUCUCCAUGUUUUCUUCUUCAAAUGAGCACCCAGCACCUGAAAUGGACCUCUUCCCCCAAAAAUGGGAGGUCGCCGUGGAGGUGCUCCACACCAACGGAUGGGAUCUCGCCGGAGCUCCACAUAAACGCUCACAGGCACCUCGUUGUCGUCUCCUCACCGGAGCUCGCCAUGGAGGUGCUCCACACCCACGGAGUCGGAUCUCGCCGUGGAGGUGCUCCACACCAACGCUCCUCGAAAAAUGGACCUCCUCUUCCUCCGCAUUACCCGGCUGGCGUCAGCAUGAGUCAGAUGUACCGGGCAACACCUCAGUCAAUUUUGGACUGGGCUACAGACCAGCUUGCGCUGGGUGCCAGUCAAUUGGGUCGGGUGGAGGGGUUUCACAGGGUGCUGGGCAGUUUUUUCAGCUGGGUGCUGGGCAAAAUGCCCUCCGCUGGAACUGCUCUUAGAGAUUCUCUAAGAACUCAACCACAUCAGAACAUUCACAUGCCAGAUUACUCCCCAUAUAGUAGAGAUAGACCCUGACGAACACAAAGAAAAUUCAACCCAUACACCACUUUAUAAGCACUCUUAACAAUUAAGGUGUAUUAGAUUUUGGCCCUUACAACACAUGAUUAAUGGACACCUUUGUGGGGAAAAAAGAGUGGCUAUGAGUUCCUUAUUCUAAUGAGACAUACAAGGGUAUAUCAAAGAAGAAACGAACUCCAACAAUCAAAUUGACAAAGACAAACUAAUACGAGUGCAAAACCUCUUGGUUCAUUGUGAAAAAAUUGAAGCCUUGUCAUCCAUUUUGAAAUUGACUCCAAAGAUAUGGUUUCUAAAAUCUCUCCAGUUUGAAAUUGACUUUUUUACAAAAAACAUUUGUAGUAAAAGCGUUUUUGCUAAAAGUACUUAUUAAACAUUUUAUCCUCUUGAAGAAGCAUUUUAAAAAAGUUUUUCUAUGACUCAAAAUCACUUAAAACUAUAUUGAUAUGUUUUUCUAGGUUUCUGGGUUGUAUCACAAGUUCCAUCGCUUUUCCAAAACUUGGAUUUCUGGGUUUUUUUGGUUUUAUACAUGAGAUUUUUUCUAUGACAUAGAAUAAGAGCAGGUUAUUUUCAAAUACAAUCGAAAAAAUAUAAAACUAGUUUAAUUGUUUACUUCUUUUUAACUGGGAAGAUGAUUCCUUUCUGGCCUCUGUUCAUUUUUUCUAGGUAAGGGAUAACCAUAAUUUAACUAGCUAGGAAGCUGAUCACUUUGUGCAAUUCAUUUAAAUUUUCCGCAGAACAUUCGGAAAAUCAUAAUGGCCAGUGUCCACGAAGCAUGAGCAUGAGGUUUGUAUUUGUAAAAUCUAAAAAGUAAAUACUGAUUUACUUUUAUCUAUGUACUAAUUAAAAGGAAAUUGGAGGAUACAAGUCUUUGAGCCACUAUCUUCUACAUACAACUAUGGCCUUGCGCAUCGUACAAGUAGAACUAGGCCAUCUAUGUUUUGUUCUGUAACUGCAAUUGGUACUUUGUUGAGCAGUAUUUGAGUUCUCAUGAUCGUCAUCCGUUCUUUCUACAGCAUGAUAAGCGGGAAAAAGAAGAAUAGAAGAAGCGAUUGAUACCACAUUGUUUGCUCGUAGAAUUCUUCAGUUUUUUUUGGCGAUUGUUGAUUUUAACACAAGAAGGGAAAGGAAAACAAAAUUUACUACAAAACCUUAUAUGCUUGAUAUUAAUGGUUUUUUUGUUGUUGUUUUGUUUUUGUUCUGUUAUGAUAGGCAUAGGGCUAACCAAACUUGUAGCCAAACACUAUUUUAACGCCAUAAGGGAUUUUUAGUAUUUUUUUUACCACUUAUUUCACAUCUGGGUGGGUUUUCUUGUCAUGGAGGGAGUUUGUGAAAUGAUUUUGAAACGUCAGGGGUUGUUUGCGUUACUUUCAAAACAUGAUGGGGUUUUCUGAAAACCCGAGAAAUCUCAAGGAGUGUAUAUGUAAUUAACUCAUCUUUCAUUUUUCAUAUAACCAUAUAUAACCCACAUGCUGCAAACUUUUCUCCAACAUUUCCAAAUCACUGUCGUAGAGUAUUUGAUUUUCUUAUUGAAAGUUAGAGACACCUUAUUGCACAUUUACAUGUCUCAAUGAGUAACUCAAUGAUCCAAGCGAUACACAUAAGAAGCUAUGGUGCAGAAUAUACGAAACAAGUCUCUUUCUUAUAUUUAUAUUUGAUUAAUCUUAUAAUUAGUGGUUUGUGAUCCCUGUAAUUAGUUUUAGGACACACAGCAUCCAACACAGGACAUGUCAUUUGUUUAUAGUACAAGGGUAAAAACCAUAGGUCCUCCAUAUAUAAAUAGACAAUUAAUCCACUAAGACAAUUUAAACAUUCAAUAGAGGGCUUAUCAAUCAAGCUCAAUUACCUUGAUCCAUCUAAGCAGCAAAUUGAGUACCUCUGUGCAACCUGCGAUUUCUUCUCAUCAACACUCAGUUCAUUCAUCACAAGCUCAACAAUUUAUCAACGCGAACUCAUCUUGUGGCACUGAGAUUCUUCAUAUAAACAAUGAAUGAUAAUGAAAUGCAACUAUAUAGAUUUAGAUUAAAAUUAAUUUCUUCAAGACACAUUCAAUCUUCAAGAAACCAAUAUUAAAUCCACUCAUACAAUGUAUGUGAAUGGUUGAUUUGAUAUUAACUUUUGAA
rnacentral:lncRNA from 1 species